rnacentral:rRNA from 1 species
UGGGGAAUAUUGGACAAUGGGGGGAACCCUGAUCCAGCCAUGCCGCGUGUGUGAAGAAGGUCUUCGGAUUGUAAAGCACUUUAAGUUGGGAGGAAGGGCAGUAAGCGAAUACCUUGCUGUUUUGACGUUACCGACAGAAUAAGCACCGGCUAACUCUGUGCCAGCAGCCGCGGUAAUACAGAGGGUGCAAGCGUUAAUCGGAAUUACUGGGCGUAAAGCGCGCGUAGGUGGUUCGCUAAGUUGAAUGUGAAAGCCCCGGGCUCAACCUGGGAACUGCAUCCAAAACUGGCGAGCUAGAGUAGGGCAGAGGGUGGUGGAAUUUCCUGUGUAGCGGUGAAAUGCGUAGAUAUAGGAAGGAACACCAGUGGCGAAGGCGACCACCUGGGCUCAUACUGACACUGAGGUGCGAAAGCGUGGGGAGCAAACAGG